rnacentral:rRNA from 1 species
UACGUAGGGUGCGAGCGUUGUCCGGAAUUAUUGGGCGUAAAGAGCUUGUAGGCGGUUUGUCGCGUCCGCCGUGAAAAUUCGAGGCUCAACCUCGAACUUGCGGUGGGUACGGGCAGACUAGAGUGUGGUAGGGGAGACUGGAAUUCCUGGUGUAGCGGUGAAAUGCGCAGAUAUCAGGAGGAACACCGAUGGCGAAGGCAGGUCUCUGGGCCACUACUGACGCUGAGAAGCGAAAGCAUGGGGAGCGAACAGG